rnacentral:rRNA from 1 species
GAUGAACGCUGGCGGCGUGCUUAACACAUGCAAGUCGAACGAUGAAGCCCAGCUUGCUGGGUGGAUUAGUGGCGAACGGGUGAGUAACACGUGAGUAACCUGCCCUUAACUCUGGGAUAAGCCUGGGAAACUGGGUCUAAUACCGGAUAGGAGCGUCCACCGCAUGGUGGGUGUUGGAAAGAUUUAUCGGUUUUGGAUGGACUCGCGGCCUAUCAGCUUGUUGGUGAGGUAAUGGCUCACCAAGGCGACGACGGGUAGCCGGCCUGAGAGGGUGACCGGCCACACUGGGACUGAGACACGGCCCAGACUACUACGGGAGGCAGCAGUGGGGAAUAUUGCACUAUGGGCGCAAGCCUGAUGCAGCGACGCCGCGUGAGGGAUGACGGCCUUCGGGUUGUAAACCUCUUUCAGUAGGGAAGAAGCGAAAGUGACGGUACCUGCAGAAGAAGCACCGGCUAACUACGUG